rnacentral:tRNA from 1 species
GCUCGGUUAGCUCAGUUGGUUAGAGCGUCGUACUAAUAUUAUACAACCAGUUGUGUAACAUUGGUAAUGCGAAGGUCAUGAGUUCGACCCUCAUACUGAGCA